AUACAUGCAAGUCGAGCGGGUUUACCCUUCGGGGUAAGCUAGCGGCGGACGGGUGAGUAACACGUAGGUAACCUGCCUAUAAGAUCGGGAUAACUAUCGGAAACGAUAGCUAAAACCGGAUAAUUGGUUUUCUCGCAUGAGAGAAUUAUGAAACACGGAGCAAUCUGUGGCUUAUAGAUGGGCCUGCGGCGCAUUAGCUAGUUGGUAGGGUAACGGCCUACCAAGGCGACGAUGCGUAGCCGACCUGAGAGGGUGAACGGCCACACUGGGACUGAAACACGGCCCAGACUCCUACGGGAGGCAGCAGUAGGGAAUCUUCCGCAAUGGACGCAAGUCUGACGGAGCAACGCCGCGUGAGUGAUGAAGGUUUUCGGAUCGUAAAGCUCUGUUGCCCUAGACGAACAGCAAGGAGAGUAACUGCUCUUUGUGUGACGGUAUAGGAGAAGAAAGCCCCGGCUAACUACGUGCCAGCAGCCGCGGUAAUACGUAGGGGGCAAGCGUUGUCCGGAAUUAUUGGGCGUAAAGCGCGCGCAGGCGGUCAAUUAAGUUGGGUGUUUAAGCCCGGGGCUCAACCCCGGUUCGCAUCCAAAACUGGUUGACUUGAGUGUAAGAGAGGAAAGUGGAAUUCCACGUGUAGCGGUGAAAUGCGUAGAGAUGUGGAGGAACACCAGUGGCGAAGGCGACUUUCUGGCCUAUAACUGACGCUGAGGCGCGAAAGCGUGGGGAGCAAACAGGAUUAGAUACCCUGGUAGUCCACGCCGUAA
rnacentral:rRNA from 2 species